GAUGAAGAACGUAGCGAAAUGCGAUAAGUAGUGUGAAUUGCAGAUUUCAGUGAAUCAUCGAAUCUUUGAACGCACAUUGCGCCCGCUGGUAUUCCGGCGGGCAUGCCUGUUCGAGCGUCAUUUCAACCCUCAAGCCCCCGGGUUUGGUGUUGGGGAUCGGCUCUGCCCUUCUGGGCGGUGCCGCCCCCGAAAUACAUUGGCGGUCUCGCUGCAGCCUCCAUUGCGUAGUAGCUAACACCUCGCAACUGGAACGCGGCGCGGCCAUGCCGUAAAACCCCAACUUCUGAAUGUUGACCUCGGAUCAGGUAGGAAUACCCGCUGAACUUAAGCAUAUCAAUAAGCGGAGGA
rnacentral:misc_RNA from 1 species